AUCACAAUUGUUAAAAACAUGCGAAAUACCUUCUGACUUCCCUUUUCUCUCAAUGUAGGUCUGUGGGUGCCUCGUCUGAGCUACAUAGUUUCCAGGUUACCUGGAACCGUGGAUAACUCUCAGAUCAGCAACUUGUCAGUUGAUUUCCAAGCUGCUGUUGGCUGGACUCAGGCUCAGCGGGGAGGACCUGGCAGGCCCUGUGUUGCGGGCUGGACUCAGGCCCAUCUCGCUGAUUACUCUUGUUUUGCUCUCCAGCAUGUCCUCAGGAGCCUGACGCAGGGAAGGUUUUACCUGUUCUUCCUCUUUCUUGUCCUCGGUUGUCCAGGCCUGGGUGUUCAGCACGUUCCCUCCAGUAAGUUUAGAGUGGCAUCUCUCCGAGGGCCAGACCCCGGUGAGGACGGACAUCUUAGCUCCCAUUCUGAGUGGAAGGAGAGAGGCUUGGUCCAGCUCUCAAAGCCUUCUAUGCCCACCAGGAAUCCAGGAAGACCUGGAGAGCCCGAAGCAGUAAACGGGAGAGGCGCUCCGUGGGAAACGCGGGCGGAGAGGGAGAACCUUUCCCACUGAAACCUCCAGCCCCGGCUUCUUCUCAGCCUUUGGCAGCUAUUAAAAAAAUUCCUUCAAUUUUUGCCCACUAAUGAUGCCCAUCAUUCUCUGGAACCUGAAUUCAGGAGCGUAGGCUCACAGCCCUGUCUUACAUGAUGUACGCUUUUUAUCUCAAAAGCGUUUUAUCUCAAAAAGCUGGGGCCAUUUGUACCCGAGAAGGGUGUAGCCAUAGGAACAUCUGCACCUAUACUUAGUAGAUAAUUAAGCCAGUUUUCUGGGUACUUAAUAGUUUUCUACUUCACGGUGUGUAGGUUAUACUUGGUUUUAGUUAUGACAGAUUGGGAUAAUAAGUAUAAAAGUAACCAUCUAAUUAACGGCUCCAUGUACUGUAUGAUUCUGGAAAGCAUUAUUUAGAAUUAUUGGAUCAGGUUAGGCUGUGGACAUACUGUGUCUGGAUUUUCCUAAGUUCUCUUAAAAAACGAGUUCAGACCAAUACAUAUAUUUAUGGGGGAGUACAUAAAGGCAGUCUGCAGAAUGCCCGUGUGGAGGCGUCUGGGCAGGAAUGCCAGUGUGGAUGCAUCUGGGUAAGGCUGGCGGCCUCAUGGAGGGAUGAUAGGUCAUUGUCAGUCGCUGUGGCUGAAUUAAGUUCACCCCCCAAUUCACAUGUUGAAGUCCUGACCCCUAGGACCUCAGAAUGUAACUGUAUUUGGAGAUAGGGCAUUUCAAGAGUUAAUUAAAGUAAAGUGAAGUAUUAGGAUGGGCCCUGGUCCCACCUGACCGGGGUCCUUAUAAGAAGAGGAGAUGAGGACACAGACACACCCAGAGGGCCGACCCUGCCAGGACCCAGGGAAGAGAAAGGGAAGGAGGCAUUGGAGAGAGCCAGCCCUGCCCACAUCUUGCUGUUGGUCUUCCAGCCUCCAGAGCUGUGAGAAAUAAACUUCUGUGUGUAAGCCCCCCA
rnacentral:lncRNA from 1 species